GGACGAACGCUGGCGGCGCGCCUAACACAUGCAAGUCGAACGAGCGAGAGAGAGCUUGCUUUCUCAAGCGAGUGGCGAACGGGUGAGUAACGCGUGAGGAACCUGCCUCAAAGAGGGGGACAACAGUUGGAAACGACUGCUAAUACCGCAUAAGCCCACGGCUCGGCAUCGAGCAGAGGGAAAAGGAGCAAUCCGCUUUGAGAUGGCCUCGCGUCCGAUUAGCUAGUUGGUGAGGUAAUGGCCCACCAAGGCGACGAUCGGUAGCCGGACUGAGAGGUUGAACGGCCACAUUGGGACUGAGACACGGCCCAGACUCCUACGGGAGGCAGCAGUGGGGAAUAUUGCACAAUGGGGGAAACCCUGAUGCAGCGACGCCGCGUGGAGGAAGAAGGUCUUCGGAUUGUAAACUCCUGUUGUUGAGGAAGAUAAUGACGGUACUCAACAAGGAAGUGACGGCUAACUACGUGCCAGCAGCCGCGGUAAAACGUAGGUCACAAGCGUUGUCCGGAAUUACUGGGUGUAAAGGGAGCGCAGGCGGGAAGACAAGUUGGAAGUGAAAUCUAUGGGCUCAACCCAUAAACUGCUUUCAAAACUGUUUUUCUUGAGUAGUGCAGAGGUAGGCGGAAUUCCCGGUGUAGCGGUGGAAUGCGUAGAUAUCGGGAGGAACACCAGUGGCGAAGGCGGCCUACUGGGCACCAACUGACGCUGAGGCUCGAAAGUGUGGGUAGCAAACAGGAUUAGAUACCCUGGUAGUCCACACCGUAAACGAUGAUUACUAGGUGUUGGAGGAUUGACCCCAUCAGUGCCGCAGUUAACACAAUAAGUAAUCCACCUGGGGAGUACGACCGCAAGGUUGAAACUCAAAGGAAUUGACGGGGGCCCGCACAAGCAGUGGAGUAUGUGGUUUAAUUCGACGCAACGCGAAGAACCUUACCAAGUCUUGACAUCCUGCGACGCACAUAGAAAUAUGUGUUUCCUUCGGGACGCAGAGACAGGUGGUGCAUGGUUGUCGUCAGCUUGUGUCGUGAGAUGUUGGGUUAAGUCCCGCAACGAGCGCAACCCUUACUGUCAGUUACUACGCAAGAGGACUCUGGCAGGACUGCCGUUGACAAAACGGAGGAAGGUGGGGAUGACGUCAAAUCAUCAUGCCCUUUAUGACUUGGGCUACACACGUACUACAAUGGCGUUAAACAAAGAGAAGCAAGACCGCGAGGUGGAGCAAAACUCAGAAACAACGUCCCAGUUCGGACUGCAGGCUGCAACUCGCCUGCACGAAGUCGGAAUUGCUAGUAAUCGUGGAUCAGCAUGCCACGGUGAAUACGUUCCCGGGCCUUGCACACACCGCCCGUCA
rnacentral:rRNA from 1 species